CUGGCGCUCACCCUCUUGGAACACACCAACAUCGGUGUGGGAAGCAAGAGCCUCACUCUCUGCCCGACCAACGAGGACGUGCGCAAGUGGACCGAGGC
rnacentral:ribozyme from 1 species